rnacentral:tRNA from 1 species
GCUUUCCUGGUGCAAAGGCCGCACACUUGGCUUGUAUUCAAGAGGUCCAGAUUCGAAUUCCGGCGAGGGCA